CAUGGGAAUUUCCCGGGAUCUUCCCCUGCUGUGGUGGUGUGUGUGUGUGAUCUUCUUCUUCUGGUUAUGCUUUCGUUUAUCUUUAUUGAUAUACCACGCAUCACAAUUCACAAAGAAACAAAUUAUAACACUUGCCACAAAGGAUUUAUCACUAUCACUGGAUUUUCUACGUUGUUGACUGAAUAAGGUAUCAUUUAUUACUUUAGAUUUGAAGUUUAAUUAAGACAAGUUAUGCGGAAAUGAGGAACUAUGAAUGUUUCGGUUAAUUAAUUUCAUGCUCAUGUAAAAUCAGGCUCUAGAUUCAAUUUAUGUGAUUUAGAUUUACUCAAUUAAAUUAAGAUUUUAUUUUGAUGAUAUUCUUUAUUGGCAGAGAGUGCUUAAUGGAGUUCUUCGAUAAUUUAAGGUAAUUGGUGUUUUGCUAUUUACUCUAAAAUUCGAUUAUCUUGAAUAAGAUUGUUGAGGAGAUUGGAUCUUCGAUUAAAUUCAGCUAUGAGCCAAUAAAAUAACCCUUCAUUUGCAUUUAUAUAUUCUUUCUUUAAUGUCUCUGACAUGAUUACAACACAUAAACACUUCAAUUGCAGUUAUAUAUUCUUUCAAUUGCAGCUAUAUUACUACUCAAUUCCUGAUCAUAAGCAAAUUUAGCAAAUCUAUUUCUUUAAUGUCUCCUAUAGAGAACGGUCCCUAAACGAGUAAUUCAAGAGGGAUUCUAGAUAGCUGACAAUAAUUAGAUUGUCUGGACAAGCAUUGAAUUGCCUCUCAUAGGGUGUAAUAUUAAUAUUAACUUUGAUACCAAUCCAAUCCAUAUACAACAAUGCAGCCAUCUCACCACCUGCGCUAAGGAAUGCACCAAUCAGUGCUUCAAACAACAUCAGCAGCAACUUUCCGUUUCAAUUUUCUAUUUCCGCGGAAAAAAUAUUUAGUCGCGGAAAUAGAAAAUUGAAACGGUAAGUUGUUGCUGAUGUUGUUGAAGCACUGAUUGGUGGUGAGAUGGCUGCAUUGUUGUUUCUGGAUUGAGUUGGUAUCAAAGUGAAUAUUAAUAUUACAUAUGAGAUGCAAUUCAAUGCUUUGUCGAGAUAAUCUAGUUAAUGUCAGCUAUCAAGAAUCCCUUUUGAAGUACUCGUUUAGGGACCGUUCUCUGUUAGUAGAAGCCAUGACACACGGUUCCUACAUGCUGCCUGACGUUCCUAGAUGCUAUCAGAUGUCUGACAAAAAUUGUAGAGUUUGCAUGUUAUCAAGACUUAAUCCAUGCCAAAGUGAGACUUCCAAGGACAUUUGGAGUAGGUGAAGUGUCCAAGACCAUCCAACUCAAGGAGCCUUGAUGCCCCAUCUUAGUAAGGAAUCACAAACUUUAACUUCAUGAUAAAAAUGAGAAAUAUAAAUGUCCAAAUCAGAAGAACAUGGAGCAAGAGGCUUCAUCAUGAUAGAAGUAAAAGUUUGAAUUUGGUUCAAGACAACUUGAGAGGUCUGCCUCAAAGAAGAGGAAGAGAAUGGAUAAAUUUUUAGCAAUUCAAAGUAAAAA